AACUUGUUCUGGGAUUCACAAAACUACGACUGCAAUCUUCAUAAGAGAUCAUUCUCUUACCGUGUGUGUCUGUGUGUGUGUGUGUGUGUGUGUGGAGGCAUUACUGCAGAGGAUGGUCUUGAGGUCCACUACUGCAGAAGGUUUUGUGGCCACUACUGCAGAAGGUUUGUGUGACCACUACUGCAGAAGGUUUUGUGGCCACUACUGCAGAAGGUUUUGUGGCCACUACUGCAGAAGGUUUUGUGGCCACUACUGCAGAAGGUUUUGUGGCCACUACUGCAGAAGGUUUUGUGGCCACUACUGCAGAAGGUUUUGUGGCCACUACUGCAGAAGGGUGUGGAGUCCCAGAAGAACAGCCAAGAGGGAGAGA